rnacentral:rRNA from 1 species
CCUACGAGAGGCAGCAGUGGGGAAUAUUUCACAAUGGGGGGAACCCUGAUGCAGCACCGCCGCGUGAAGGAAGACUGUUUUCGGAUUGUAAACUUCUAUCAAUAGGGAAGUAAACAAUGACGGUAACUACAUAAUAAGCCCCGGCUAACUACGUGCCAUCAGCCGCGGUAAUACGUAGGGGGCAAGCGUUAUCCGGACUUACUGGGUUUAAAGGGAGAGUAGGCGGCAAGGUAAGCGAUAUGUGAAAGCCUUAGGAUUAACCUGAGUAUUGCAUAACGGACUAGCUAGCUAGAGUACAGGAGAGGAAAGCGGAAUUCCUAGUGUAGCGGUGAAAUGCGUAGAUAUUAGGAAGAACACCAGUGGCGAAGGCGGCUUUCUGGACUGAAACUGACGCUGAGGCUCGAAAGCGUGGGGAGCGAACAGGAUUAGAUACCCGAGUAGUC